UACAGAGGGUGCGAGCGUUAAUCGGAAUUACUGGGUUUAAAGGGUGUGUAGGCGGACUAUUAAGUCAGCGGUGAAAUCUCCGGGCUCAACCCGGAAACUGCCAUUGAUACUAUUAGUCUUGAAUGUUGUUGAGGUGGGCGGAACGGGUCAUGUAGCGGUGAAAUGCAUAGAUAUGACCCGGAACACCGAUUGCGAAGGCAGCCCACUAAGCAACGAUUGACGCUGAGGCACGAAAGCGUGGGGAUCAAACAGG
rnacentral:rRNA from 1 species